rnacentral:rRNA from 1 species
GACGAACGCUGGCGGCGUGCUUAACACAUGCAAGUCGAACGGAAAGGCCCUGCUUGCAGGGUACUCGAGUGGCGAACGGGUGAGUAACACGUGGGUGAUCUGCCCUGCACUUCGGGAUAAGCCUGGGAAACUGGGUCUAAUACCGGAUAGGAGCCAUUUUUAGUGUGAUGGUUGGAAAGUUUUUUCGGUGUAGGAUGAGCUCGCGGCCUAUCAGCUUGUUGGUGGGGUAAUGGCCUACCAAGGCGGCGACGGGUAGCCGGCCUGAGAGGGUGGACGGCCACAUUGGGACUGAGAUACGGCCCAGACUCCUACGGGAGGCAGCAGUGGGGAAUAUUGCACAAUGGGCGCAAGCCUGAUGCAGCGACGCCGCGUGGGGGAUGACGGCCUUCGGGUUGUAAACUCCUUACGCUAGGGACGUAGCUUUUUGUGACGGUACCUAGAUAAGAAGCACCGGCUAACUACGUGCCAGCCGCCGCGGUAA